AAAUAAUCCUUCUACAACGGAAGGGAGUGUCCAAGAUUUCAAUAUUUCUGAAGGGAGCUGCUGACAGAGAUGUAGGAAGCGCUGAAAAGAUUCUUCAGUGCUGAUGGCCUGCUGCAUCCAGCAGAGUCGGAGUGAACCUACUGUAAGACAACAUCUCCAAGAUGCUAUUGACCACAAGACUAGUACAGUAAGUCAAACCUCAAAUAUACAGUACACUAGUGUUCAAAAGCUUGAACUUGAUACAAUUUGUAAUAAUUAUCUUCUGCUCACCUCUGUAGUAAUUAUUUAAUUAAAAUAUGUAAAAAGAGUAAUAUUGUGAAAUAUUAUUACAAUUUAAAAUAGCUGUUUUCUAUGUGAAUAUAUAAACUAAUUUAUUCCUGUGAUGUGCAGCUGUAUUUUCAGCAUCAUUCCUCCAGUCUUCAGUGUCACAUGGAUCCCUCAGAAAUGCUGAUUUGCUGCUCAAGAAACUUAUUAUCAGCGUUGAAACAGUUGUGCUGAUUCAUUUUUUUUUUGUGGAAACCCUUAAUUUUCAGGAUUCACAUAUGAAUACAAAGUUCAAAAGACCUGCAUUUAUUUGAAACAGAUGAUUUUGAACAAUUUGAUGCGUGUAACACUAACAUUCAAAUGUUUGGAGUCUAUGUAACAACGAAUUUCAGCACGUCUGUAUUUUUACAUUGAUCAUAAUCAGAAAUGUUUCUUGAGCAGUAAAUCAUCAUAUUAGAAUGAUUUCUGAAGAUGUGUCACUGAAGACUGGAGUAAUGAUGCUGAAAAUUCAGCUUUGAUCAAAGGAAUAAAUGACAUUUUAACAUAAUAUUCACAUAGAAAAGAGUUGUUUUGAAUUGUAAUAGUCACAGUGUUACUAUUUUACUGUAAUUCGAUUCAAUAAAUGGAGCCGUGGUGAGCAUAAGAUAUUUUUUAUAAAGGCAUAAAAUAUCUUACAGACCCCAAACUCUUGAAUGGUUGUGUAAAUUACAGUUAUGAUGUUCCUCCCAGUUUAAUUUUAUUAAAAUGUAUUAAAUGUUACUCUGGCAUAUGCAGUCCAUUCUAUAGAGACUGUGUCUGUUCCCCAAAAACAGACAACAAAUAAUAUGUUUAUUAAGGGAUCUAGAAAAAUUAUUUCAGUUUAAACCUACUAGAUUAAAAAUAGUACUCAAUGUACUCCAUUGAUGAAAUAGUAAAAAGUGCACAUUGCCUGAAAUGAUAUGAACAGCAGCUAUGCUAAUCUUUCUCCCUUUGCCUUCCUGUUUCUGCAAAUGUCCAUCCCAAGGUUAUUAGAAACUGCACAGCACAGGACUUGCAGGACUUGUGAGGGCUUCAGAUGAUACCAGUACUCAAAAGACCUUAGAUGAUGGCAACUAUAGAUGAACAUACAAACUACGGCCACUGCAAAAAAGAUUCUAAUUUGAAAUAAGUUUAUAAUGCAUGUUCGCUACUCCCAAUUCAGAAGACUGAAUCAGCCUGUGUAUCUGAAUGUUUCUCAUACUCACUCCUCUCUGCCGCGUCUGAAUUUGGGAUUUUCCUUAGCUGUCAGUUAUAAACGUCAAAAUUAAAAGAAAUAAACAUUUGAAAUAUAUCAGUCUGUGUGUAAUGAAUAAAUAUAAUAUACAAGUUUCAUUUUUUGAAUGGAAUUAGUGAAAUAAAUCAACUUUUUGAUGAUAUUCUAAUUAUAUGACCAACACCUGUAUAUCAUUGCUCUUUUGUUGAUUUUGAUUGCUUCCAUUGUCCUCAUUUGUAAGUUGCUUUGGAUAAAAGUGUCUGCUAAAUGUAAAUGUAAUGUUAAUGUGUAUUUAACUAUAUUUAUAAAUAUUUAUCUGUAUUUUUUAU